CCUAACACAUGCAAGUCGAGCGGUAGAGAGAAGCUUGCUUCUCUUGAGAGCGGCGGACGGGUGAGUAAUGCCUAGGAAUCUGCCUGGUAGUGGGGGAUAACGUUCGGAAACGGACGCUAAUACCGCAUACGUCCUACGGGAGAAAGCAGGGGACCUUCGGGCCUUGCGCUAUCAGAUGAGCCUAGGUCGGAUUAGCUAGUUGGUGAGGUAAUGGCUCACCAAGGCGACGAUCCGUAACUGGUCUGAGAGGAUGAUCAGUCACACUGGAACUGAGACACGGUCCAGACUCCUACGGGAGGCAGCAGUGGGGAAUAUUGGACAAUGGGCGAAAGCCUGAUCCAGCCAUGCCGCGUGUGUGAAGAAGGUCUUCGGAUUGUAAAGCACUUUAAGUUGGGAGGAAGGGCAGUAAAUUAAUACUUUGCUGUUUUGACGUUACCGACAGAAUAAGCACCGGCUAACUCUGUGCCAGCAGCCGCGGUAAUACAGAG
rnacentral:rRNA from 1 species